UUAACUAUUAUAUAGUACUCAGACAUCACUAAAAACAAGAGUUGUGGUCCUCUGGCAGGCACGCAAGAGCCGAAGCCCCUGGCACGAGUGCGUCCUGCCAAAGCAACAAAGGUAUGUUAUUCAAGGGUGGAGAUCUACCCCGAAGGGCAUGAUACUCUGUAAUGAUCCUUCCGCAGGUUCACCUACGGAAA
rnacentral:misc_RNA from 1 species